rnacentral:lncRNA from 1 species
GCAAAUUAUGUAUUUACUAGUGAAGUCACCUGUGCGUUGCGCGGGUCGAUUCCAUAGAAAUAAAUAAAGCUAAAAAAAAAUUAUUAUUAUAGUAAAAUAUAAAAAUAAAAAUAUAAAAAGAAUAAAAAAAGAAUAAAAAAUAUAAAAAUAAUAAAUUAUAUUUAUAACAGUAGUAGUUCGAGUCUAAAAUUGUAAUUCAUUAAAGUUUGAGAACUAAACUUUCACGUGCCACACACUUUCAGCAAAAAAAUAUAAUCUAUUAAAAUUCGAGAACUAAAAUGUCAUAUGUCUUAUAGUUUGAGAAUCAAAAGCGUAACUUAUCCUUUUUAUAUUUUAAUAUCAGACAAGGAUAUAAUUGAGUUUUAUUUGACGAAAGAAUAUGCUAAACUAUCUAAUAAAUUUUAGAAUGUCCAAUUGUUAAAAUUAAAAGUCGGCCAAUCAUAUUUUGGAUAUUCCAAAAUAUUUUAAAUGUGAAAUUGAUUGCUCAUCAGACUAUAAACAUAGCAUUGAAGUUUAAUAUUAAAAUCAAAGUAAAAACGUACAGAACUUUUCUAAACUAUGAAAGAUUUUGAAUCAACUAUCCAACCUUUCAAAAUUUUAUUUUUACAAUCUAAUCUUUUCAUAUGUUAGAUUUGAGUUAGUUAAUGAUAAUUUGACUUCAAAAUUUGAAUUUAUUGUUUAGUUUUACAAAUUUAAUUAGUACUUCAUGUAAUUUUCGCAACUAAAUUUAUUAAAUAAAUAGUUAACUUAAACUUCAUCCAUUGCUCUUUUAUUUUUUAUUAUACAAUUUAUAUCUAAAUGAUCGAUAUUAUAAAAUUAAAAUUUAUAUUUAAUACAUACAAUCUAAACUAUUUAAAAGUACGCAUAUAUUUUAAAAUUUUAUAAUAAGAGAGAAAAGUUAUAUUAGAUUUUUUUUUAAAAAAUCUGCUCUUCAAAAUUAAUAGAAAAGAAAUAAAAAUUAAAAACAUAAAAAAUAUGAGAAAGGUAGGCCCCACCCGCCUGGGCCCACCCCCCAACCCUCUCCUUCCCACUCCCCGCCCGCCCCCGCACCCCCGCUUUCUUCCGCCACCUGUAACAAACUCUCUUUUCGUAUAUUUACUAGUGAAGGAUCCGCACGUUGCGGCGGAAUGAUUCCGUAGAAAUAAAUAUAUAAAUAAAAUAAAUAAUAGUAAAAAAAAGAGUCAAAAAAUUAUAUUAAAAAAUAACUAAAAAAUAAACAACUAUUGCUGUAAUAAAAAUAUAAAAAUAAAUUAUAAGAAAGAUUAAACAAAAUAAAGACAAAAAUCAUACUAAUAAGAAAUUAUAUAUAAUUAUAUUUAUAAUUAUAUAUAUUAUAAUUAUUAUUAUAAUUAUGUAUAAUUUUAGGAAAAAAUGAUUUAUUGUUUUUAUAUUUUUGCCUCUAUUCUUCUUUUAUCUAUCUAAUUGUCAUGCCCCGGAUUACUCGUUUCCCCGGGCUCGCUAACAGACCCGCCGUAUACAUAGAUAUUUUCUCUGUAUACGAAGCGAAA